UUAAUAGUAAAAUCUGCUCAAUGAAAUUUUUAAUAGCCGCAAUUCGUGCUAAGGUAGCAUAAUCAUUUGUCCUUUAAAUGAGGACCAGAACAAAAGAUUUAACAUUUCAUUUAAUUUUACACUUAAACAAUUUAAUUUUUUCUAAAGAUUAAAAUAUCUUUAUCAAAAAAAAAGACGAUAAGACCCUAUUGAACUUAACUUCAGUUAAACUGGGGCAGUUUAUUAAUUAUUAUUUUAAUUUCAAUAUUAAUAAAAAGAACCUUUUAUUUGAUAAAUCAGUUACCAUAGGGAUAACAGCGUAAUAAAAUUUUAGGGACCUUACCAAAAAUUUAGAUUGCGACCUCGAUGUUGAAUUAAUAACCUAAUUAAAGCAAAAUUUAAAAUAGGAAGUCUGUUCGACUUUUAAACAAUUACAUGAUUUGAGUUCAGACCGGUACAAGCCAGGUCGGAUUCCAUCUUUUAAAAAAUUUUUUGUAGUACGAAAGGACCUAAAAAUUAAAUAUAAUUUAUUAUAUUGGCAGACUAAUGCAUUAGAAUUAGAAUCUAAUUAUGA
rnacentral:rRNA from 1 species